rnacentral:sRNA from 1 species
ACCCAACAGAUGAACAGUUUCUGCUGCAGCGGCUGGCAGACGGGGCCAUCGACCUCUAUGCCAUGGUGGUGGUUCUCUCGAGGUGAGGAGGCAGGCAGGGAAUGCCUGAGCCGCAGGGGGCCUGGGCCUGGAUCCCAGCCGGCCCAGAUUUAUUUUCAUCUCCUGCUUCCUGCCAGGGCCUCAAGAUCCCUAAGUGAGGGCCACCCCACGGCCCAGCAUGAGAAAAUGCUCUGUGACACCUGGUGUAUCGAGGUGAGACUCGGGGCUGCCAAGCUCAGGUGAGGGCUAGAGGUACAGGCCCAACCCCUCCUUCCCUCUCCCCAGGCUGCAGCUCGGAUCCGAGAGGGCAUGGCCGCCCUGCAGUCUGACCCCGGGCAGCAAGAGCUCUACCGCAACUUCAAAAGCAUCUCCAAGGCCUUGGUGGAGCGGGGUGGUGUAGUCACCAGCAACCCACUUGGCUUCUGAAUACUCCCGUCCAGGGCCUGGCCCGGUUAUGUGCCUUCCCUCAAGCUAAAGCCGAAGCCCGUUUCCUUAGGGCCCUGGUUUGUCCGGAAGGGGCCUAAUGUUCCCAGCACUGUGCCUGCUCUCAAGAGCACUUACUGCCUCACAAAUAAUAAAAUUUCUAACCAGUCA